rnacentral:rRNA from 1 species
UACAGAGGGGGCGAGCGUUGUUCGGAAUUACUGGGCGUAAAGGGCGCGUAGGCGGCCCGCUAAGUCGAACGUGAAAUCCCCAGGCUCAACCUGGGAACUGCGUCCGAUACUGGCAGGCUUGAAUCCGGGAGAGGGAUGUGGAAUUCCAGGUGUAGCGGUGAAAUGCGUAGAUAUCUGGAGGAACACCGGUGGCGAAGGCGGCAUCCUGGACCGGUAUUGACGCUGAGACGCGAAAGCGUGGGGAGCGAACAGG